GUUUUGUAUGAAAGGAGAGAAGGUUAGCACUCCCCUUGAUGAGGAUGGAAGAGGUCUUAGUGGCCUUUACAACACAUAUAUGUUUAAGGCAUUGCCUUCUACUCUGUUACAUCUAGCCAAAAAAAUGA